CACGCCGCGUGAGUGAUGAAGGCUUUCGGGUCGUAAAACUCUGUUGUUAGGGAAGAACAAGUGCUAGUUGAAUAAGCUGGCACCUUGACGGUACCUAACCAGAAAGCCACGGCUAACUACGUGCCAGCAGCCGCGGUAAUACGUAGGUGGCAAGCGUUAUCCGGAAUUAUUGGGCGUAAAGCGCGCGCAGGUGGUUUCUUAAGUCUGAUGUGAAAGCCCACGGCUCAACCGUGGAGGGUCAUUGGAAACUGGGAGACUUGAGUGCAGAAGAGGAAAGUGGAAUUCCAUGUGUAGCGGUGAAAUGCGUAGAGAUAUGGAGGAACACCAGUGGCGAAGGCGACUUUCUGGUCUGUAACUGACACUGAGGCGCGAAAGCGUGGGGAGCAAACAA
rnacentral:rRNA from 2 species